GACGAACGCUGGCGGCGCGCUUAACACAUGCAAGUCGAGCGAAGCGGCGGACGGGUGAGUAACACGUGAGUAACCUGCCUUAGACAUUGGGAUAGCCUCGGGAAACCGGUAUCAAUACCAAAUGGUCUAAGAUGGACUCGCGUCGCAUUAGCUGGUUGGUGUGGUAACGGCCCACCAAGGCGACGAUGGGUAGCCGGCCUGGGAGAGUGAGCGGCCACAUUGGAACUGAGAAGCGGUCCGAACUCUACGGGAGGGAGUAGUGGGGAAUGUUGCACAAUGGAGGGAGCUCUGAUGCAGCGAGGCCGCGUGAACGAAGAAGGCUUUCGAGUCGUAAAGUACUUUUAUAUGGGAAGCGGUACCAGAAGAAAAAGCCCCGGCUAACUACGUGCCAGCAGCCGCGGUAAUUC
rnacentral:rRNA from 1 species